CCUACGGGAGGCAGCAGUGGGGAAUAUUGGGCAAUGGGCGCAAGCCUGACCCAGCAACGCCGCGUGAAGGAAGAAGGCUUUCGGGUUGUAACCUUCUUUUAUCAGGGACGAAGCAAGUAACGGUACCUGAUGACUAAGCCACGGCUAACUACGUGCCCGCAGCCGCGGUAAUACGUAGGUGGCAAGCGUUAUCCGGAUUUACUGGGUGUAAAGGGAGGGUAGGCGGGAGUGCAAGUCAGAUGUGAAAACUAUGGGCUCAACCCAUAGCCUGCAUUUGAAACUGUACUUCUUGAGUGCUGGAGAGGCAAUCGGAAUUCCGUGUGUAGCGGUGAAAUGCGUAGAUAUACGGAGGAACACCAGUGGCGAAGGCGGAUUGCUGGACAGUAACUGACGCUGAGGCGCGAAAGCGUGGGGAGCAAACAGGAUUAGAUACCCGGGUAGUC
rnacentral:rRNA from 1 species